AUGAAUAUAGCCGGGACUCGAUCAUACAACGACCCAGCAUGUUUUGAGACCGGAAAGACAUGUGGGCAGUCUGAUGUGUACGGCUUAGGCGUGAUGUUGCUCAAAAUUGUCUGUGGUGAAAAACCAACCACACAGGCUAAUGGCAAGAACAACCUUAUCGAGAAGGUCCUAAAAUGUCAAGCGAACAAUACAAUUCUCGGUGCAGAUGACAAAGGGUUGAGAGGCCAAUUUGACGGGGAACUCAAAAGUGUGUUGGAGAUCGGGCUCAUGUGUGUCAACCCGGAUCGUCAGCGUCGUCCACACAUCAAAAGAGUGAGGGGUUUCUUGAUGCAACUGCUAUUUUUAGUGUCCACUUCAAACCCCACCAUCCCUUCUGGAGUAAAUGGGAGGGGACCAAGUAGCUCCAACACAUACCCUGCGCAUUCACCGGCCGAUGAAGAAGCCGACGAUUCACCACUGCUAGUCUAG
rnacentral:rRNA from 1 species